AGUUCGAAAAUAGAUAAAAUUUAUUAUAGAAAAAAAAUAAAUAGCAAACACAUCUAAAUUCUUAUAGAGAAAUUGUUAGAAAUACCACAAGUUAAUUUCUACUUGUAAAAAAUACCACCAAUCAAAAAAUAUACUAACAUUUGUGUUUAGGCAUUAGUGAUUAUUGUUUAGGUUUUAGUAUGAAAUGAUUGGGGUUGAUUUUAUAAAUGUUCUAUAAAUAUUUAAAAAAUUAGCUUAGUGUUAUUUUAUCAUAAAUUUAGGGUAUUUGUGAAAAUAGUCAUUUAUUAAUGGUAAAUUUGAAAAGUGGUAUCAAACUUGUGGUAGAAUUGAAAUUUCCCUAUUCUUAUACAUGAAAUCACAUAUUUAGUUAUGAUAAAAAAAAAAUUAAAUUAACACCACAUUUUAUUUAUUUUCAUACAUAUAGAUCUAUGAAAGAAAAUUUAUCAAAAAUAUAAACGACUUAUUAACUAAUUAUAAUUGAUUUAUUUUAUUAAUAUUUUAUAUUAGUGUAUGAACAUGGAAGAAUUGCUUAGUAAUCUAUUACAAUAAAGUUGGUUUUCUCACUUCUCAUACUGCCACCUAAGCGAAGGGACUUCUAAAACGUGACACGUGUCUCUUUGCUUUUCCAACUUCAAAAUUUGAUCUUUGCCGUAUGGGCUGCUAACUACACAUAUGAUAUUCAAACUUGAAGCCCAGUUUAUCUUCCAGAUCUCUAUUUGUAGGAGGUCGUUUUUGGGCUUUACAAAUCUUAAGCGUAUGGGCUUAAUAAAAUAAUACCGUGAAGCCCAAC
rnacentral:lncRNA from 1 species